CAGGGAAUCUUGCGCAAUGGACGGGAAGUCUGACGCAGCGACGCCGCGUGGGUGAAGACGGCCUUCGGGUUGUAAAGCCCUUUUCUGGAGGAAGGGGGAGGACGGUACUCCAGGAAUAAGUGUCGGCUAACUACGUGCCAGCAGCCGCGGUAAUACGUAGGGGGCAAGCGUUGUCCGGAUUUACUGGGUGUAAAGGGUGCUCAGGCGGAUCUGUAAGUCAGUGGUGAAAUCCCGGAGCUUAACUCCGGAACUGCCAUUGAUACUGCAGGCCUCGAGUUCGGGGAGAGGUUGAUGGAAUAUCUGGUGUAGCAGUGAAAUGCGUAGAUAUCAGAUAGAACACCAAUGGCGAAGGCAGUCAACUGGCCCGAUACUGACGCUAAAGCACGAAAGUGUGGGAGC
rnacentral:rRNA from 1 species